AGUGAACGCUGGCGGUAGGUCUCACACAUGCAAGUCGAACGGCAGCACAGGAGAGCUCGCUCACUAGGUGGUGAGUGGCGGACGUGUGAGGAAUACAUCGGAAUCUGCCCAGUUGCGGGGGUCAACGUAGGGAAACUUACGCUAAUACUGCAUACGACUUACGGGUGCCUGAGGGGGAUCGCAAGACCUCUCGUGCUUGGCAGAGCCGGUGUCGGAUUAGCUAGUUAGCGGGGAAAUGGCCCACCAAGGCGACGAUCCGUAGCCGGUCUGAGAGGAUCAUCAGCCACACUGGAACUGAGACACGGUCCAGACUCCUACGGGAGGCAGCAGUGGGGAAUAUUGGACAAUGGGCGCAAGCCUGAUCCAGCCAUACCGCGUGGGUGAAGAAGGCCUUCGGGUUGUAAAGCCCUUUUGUUGGGAAAGAAAGCUUUCAGGCUAAUACCCUGGGGGGAUGGCGGUACCCAAAGAAUAAGCACCGGCUAACUUCGUG
rnacentral:rRNA from 1 species